rnacentral:rRNA from 1 species
UACGGAGGGUGCGAGCGUUGUCCGGAAUCAUUGGGCGUAAAGGGCGCGUAGGUGGCUUCUUAAGCGUGCGGUGAAAGCCUGGGGCUCAACCCCGGGUCGGCCGUGCGAACUGGGGGGCUGGAGCACUGUAGAGGCAGGCGGAAUUCCGGGUGUAGCGGUGGAAUGCGCAGAUAUCAGGAGGAACACCAGCGGCGAAGGCGGCGCUCUGGGCCGGUACUGACACUGAGGAGCGAAAGCGUGGGUAGCAAACAGG